CUGUGGCCCUGGCUACAGCAGCACAGCGUGUAAUCUGGAUGUCACGUCAGGUGAACGAUCUUAUCUGGCCUGAAGUCCUAUGGCGGCAAUGCACGACCGCAUUGGGGAGGCUGAGGUUCAGGGCAAGAGCCUUUAUGGAAAGGGCAGUAACAGGCACAAGAAGGACCCAGUGAAGGAGGGAUUGGAUCCAGUUCAUCUGAAUGCUGUAAUUGGGCUGCGCAAGUGGACCCACACACACAGUGGCUAUACACGCACCUGGUCAUUCACAAACAUAUGCACACACUAGCAGGUCGUUCGGGAAUUUUGCCAUGCGCCAUUCCUCUUCCCGUUAAGGCACUCCGCACGUCUGACCACCAGGAGACACACUCUCGCUACCUUCGUGUGCACAGCCAUAAAUAAUGGCGGCACCAUGCAUCUGACAUUGGUUGAAGUUCAGCAUCUGUUCGUUCACGUUCCACCAAAUGAUAUAGAAAGUUAGUAUUGUUCUGCUAGUGUGCUACAAUGCUAUGCUAAAUUUUCAU
rnacentral:lncRNA from 1 species